rnacentral:rRNA from 1 species
GUCUAAGUCCGUGCGAGCAGGGGGGGGCUAAAGGGGGAUCCAAGCGUUAUCCUGAAUUACGGGGGGUAAAUAGUUGCGUAGGUGGCAGAGUAUGUCUGUAGUGAAAGCGUGUGGCUCAACCAUAUAUACAUUACAGAAACUGCUCAGCUAGAGGGCGAGAGAGGUUACUAGAAUUCCUAGUGUAGGAGUGAAAUCCGUAGAUAUUAGGAGGAAUACCGAUGGCGUAGGCAGGUAACUGGCUCGUCCCUGACACUAAGGCACGAAAGCGUGGGUAGCAAACGGGAUUAGAUACCCCAAGUC